CGGGUGAGUAACACGUAUCCAACCUGCCGUCUACUCUUGGCCAGCCUUCUGAAAGGAAGAUUAAUCCAGGAUGGCAUCAUGAGUUCACAUGUCCGCAUGAUUAAAGGUAUUUUCCGGUAGACGAUGGGGAUGCGUUCCAUUAGAUAGUAGGCGGGGUAACGGCCCACCUAGUCAACGAUGGAUAGGGGUUCUGAGAGGAAGGUCCUCCACAUUGGAACUGAGACACGGUCCAA
rnacentral:rRNA from 1 species